rnacentral:lncRNA from 1 species
UUCUUUUCCUGAGGACUUUUAUUCUAUUCCACUUCCUGAUCAGGUAAAAAGUGUUCUGGGAAACCCUGCCUUCCUUAUUAUUUUCUUUAAGUUCUCUCCUUUUCUCCAACAUAGAAUUUAUGGAAAUUGGAGUGCCUGCAAGAAGGGAGACUUGCCUCUGAUCCCCUGGCCAGAGGCUUAACAAGCCAGACUAAAGAGUGGUGGGAGAAUUUUUUAGAAUACUUGACAUGAAUUCUCUGGAGUUUGGGGAAUACAAGCACACAGGGCCUGCUGCCAACUUUUGUUCUGGAGCGUUCUGAAAGAGGAAGGUCCAGUGGAGAGUUCACUCUGCAUCAGCAAGUAUUUUUUUGUUUGUUUUUGUUUUUUGAGAUGGAGUUUCGCUUUUGUUGCCCAGGCUGGAGUGCAAUGGUACAAUCUCGGCUCACUGCAACCUCCACCUCCUGGGUUCAAGUGAUUCUCCUGCCUCAGCCUCCCAAGUAGCUGGAAUUAUAGGUGCCCGCCAACACGCCCAGUUAAUUUUUGUACUUUUAGUAGAGACGGGGUUUCGCCAUGUUGGCCAGGCUGGUCUUGAACUCCUGGCCUCAAGUUAUCCCCUCACCUCAGCCUCCCAAAGUGCUGGGAUUACAGGCCUGAGCCACUGUGCCCGACCUUCUUUUCUCAGUUUUGAAUUGUUGCAUUGAGAUAUUAAUUCCUUACUUUUCAUUCCUUGUCUCAGGCAUCUCAGAGCUUCGACUGACUGAAUAUAUGCAGAGUCCAAAAUGAGAUAAACAAGCACCUAACCUGAACUUAAGCCGGCAGAUGAGGAUAAGGCUCCCCAGCCUCCCGGAACAAGCAGACAGUUAUUAAUGGAAAUGUUCCACCAGUUCAGGUAUGUGCUAACAUCUGUUAAAAUUGCAUUUGUACAGGAUUGCAUGAAUUACUGAUACAUGAACACAUUGCUUUAGCCAAACACAAGCUUUUAUGAUUUCAUGAUGAGGCUUCCCAGAGUUCUAGGUUAUGACAACCUGACUUUCAAAGUUACACGUUAAAGCAAUCUGUUUGCAUCCCAGGCUGACUGUGCAGAAGAGAUUUGCGGUUGGGACAAUCUGCCAUUUAAAGAGAAUGAGGUCUCUAGUCAUUAAGGGAGACAGAAUCUGUGGCUGGGACUUUUUCUGGGGCAUCCUGAGUAGGUAGCUGUGUGGCCUGUCACAGUGCGGUUUUUCAGAGGAAUGUG